UGAGGAAUAUUGGGCAAUGCCCGCAAGGGUGACCCAGCAACGCCGCGUGGAGGAUGAAUGUCGUAAGAUUGUAAACUCCUGUUAGAGGGGAAGAAUAGUACCGGUUGGACCGGUAUAUGACUGUACCCUCAGAGAAAGCCCCGGCUAACUACGUGCCAGCAGCCGCGGUAAUACGUAGGGGGCAAGCGUUGUCCGGAUUUACUGGGCGUAAAGGGCGCGUAGGCGGCGCGGUAAGUCACUUGUGAAAUCUCUGAGCUUAACUCAGAACGGCCAAGUGAUACUGCUGUGCUAGAGGGCGGAAGAGNCAACCGGAAUUCUUGGUGUAGCGGUGAAAUGCGUAGAUAUCAAGAGGAACACCUGAGGCGAAGGCGGGUUGCUGGGCCGACACUGACGCUGAUGCGCGAAAGCCAGGGGAGCAAACG
rnacentral:rRNA from 1 species